CCCUCCUUACACCCCCUUCACGAGCCUCAGAACACGACUAAGGUACCUAGGACCAUGCCACUUCAACUCCGCUGCAUCUCCAUCAAUGCAAAGGGCCUUCGUAGUCCCACCAAACGUCACUCCUUACUGCGCUGGGCCCAUACCCACAAAGCAGACAUUCUCCUGGUACAAGAAACUCACUUCACCCCCCACAAACACUUCCCACUCAAGAAUAAACACUACAACCGCGCCUUAUUUGCUAAUUCACCGGACGCAAAAACCAAAGGGGUGGCCAUAGUACUUAAAUCAUCCUGCCCGCUGACCGACGUGCAAGCUAUCUCGGACAUACAGGGGAGAUACCUCACUAUCACGGGCAAGAUAGGCCCCACUAACUACUCCAUCUCCUCCCUCUAUGCCCCUACAAUCCCAGACCCAUCGUUUUGGCCAACAUUCUCGGCACAUCUAGAAGCACACAAGGCAACCUUUACCAUCAUAGGUGGAGACUGCAACGCCACUCAUCACCCCGUGCUAGACCGCACCUCCAAGGCGCAGGGCAAACCCCGCACCUCACUAAACGACUCCCUCUUCGCCCAUUUCUUGACCACGCACAACCUCCUGGAUAUAUGGAGAUCCCAACACCCCUCAACCCUCGACUACAUGUUCUACUCCCACCCCCAUAACACCUAUUCACGCAUUGACUACUUCCUAAUUUCCCCGAACCUGACCUCACGCAUCACACACACUUCCAUAGGCCACAUUACCUGGUCGGACCACGCCGACGUCUCACUAACCCUCACAAUCCCUAACAUGACGCGCCCGUGGACUUGGAGACUUAACCCACAACUCCUCCACGACAAAUCAGUUGUGACGUCCCUAGCAAACGAUCUCAAGGAAUACUUCACUCUGAAUGAGCCAUCAGUUUCCUCCCCGCUCACUGUGUGGGCAGCCCACAAGCCAGUUAUCAGAGGCAAACUGAUAGCUAUAGCGACGGCACGUAAAAAAC